rnacentral:rRNA from 1 species
UGCUAGUUGUGCGGGUUUAGACCCGCAGCGGAAGCUCAGUAACACGUGGCCAAACUACCCUGUGGAUGGGAACAAUCUCGGGAAACUGAGGCUAAUUCCCAAUAACGCUCCACCCCUGGAACGGGCGGAGCUGGAAACGCUACGGCGCCACAGGAUGUGGCUGCGGUCGAUUAGGUAGACGGUGGGGUAACGGCCCACCGUGCCAAUAAUCGGUACGGGUUGUGAGAGCAAGAGCCCGGAGACGGAAUCUGAGACAAGAUUCCGGGCCCUACGGGGCGCAGCAGGCGCGAAACCUUUACACUGUACGCAAGUGCGAUAAGGGGACUCCGAGUGUGAAGGCAUAGAGCCUUCACUUUUGUACACCGUAAGGUGGUGUACGAAUAAGGGCUGGGCAAGACCGGUGCCAGCCGCCGCGGUAAUACCGGCAGCCCGAGUGAUGGCCGAUAUUAUUGGGCCUAAAGCGUCCGUAGCUGGCCGGACAAGUCCGUUGGGAAAUCUGUUCGCUUAACGAGCAGGCGUCCAGCGGAAACUGUUCGGCUUGGGACCGGAAGACCUGAGGGGUACGUCCGGGGUAGGAGUGAAAUCCUGUAAUCCUGGACGGACCACCGGUGGCGAAAGCGCCUCAGGAGGACGGAUCCGACAGUGAGGGACGAAAGCUAGGGUCUCGAACCGGAUUAGAUACCCGGGUAGUCCUAGCUGUAAACGAUGCCCGCUAGGUGUGGCGCAGGCUACGAGCCUGCGCUGUGCCGUAGGGAAGCCGAGAAGCGGGCCGCCUGGGAAGUACGUCUGCAAGGAUGAAACUUAAAGGAAUUGGCGGGGGAGCACUACA